AUUGCCUUAGUACGGCGAGUGAGCGGCAAAAGCUCAAAUUUGAAAUCUGGCACCUUCGGCGUCCGAGUUGUAAUUUGAAGAAGGUAACUUUGGAGUUGGCUCUUGUCUAUGUUCCUUGGAACAGGACGUCACAGAGGGUGAGAAUCCCGUGCGAUGAGAUGCCCAAUUCUAUGUAAAGUGCUUUCGAAGAGUCGAGUUGUUUGGGAAUGCAGCUCUAAGUGGGUGGUAAAUUCCAUCUAAAGCUAAAUAUUGGCGAGAGACCGAUAGCGAACAAGUACAGUGAUGGAAAGAUGAAAAGAACUUUGAAAAGAGAGUGAAAAAGUACGUGAAAUUGUUGAAAGGGAAGGGCUUGAGAUCAGACUUGGUAUUUUGCGAUCCUUUCCUUCUUGGUUGGGUUCCUCGCAGCUUACUGGGCCAGCACCGGUUUGGAUGGUAGGAUAAUGACUAAGGAAUGUGGCUCUACUUCGGUGGAGUGUUAUAGCCUUGGUUGAUACUGCCUGUCUAGACCGAGGACUGCGUCUUUUGACUAGGAUGUUGGCAUAAUGAUCUUAAGCCACCCGUCUUGAAACACGGACCAGACA
rnacentral:rRNA from 1 species